AUACUUACCUGGCAGGGAAGAUACCAUGAUCACAAAAGUGGUUUUCCCAGGGCGAGGCUUAUCCGUUGCACUUCGGAUGUGCUGACCCCUGCGAUUUCCCCAAAUGUGGGAAACUUGACUGCAUAAUUUGUGGUAGUGGGGGACUGUGUUCACACUCUCCCCUG
rnacentral:snRNA from 1 species